rnacentral:rRNA from 1 species
GUGGGGAAUAUUGGGCAAUGGGCGAAAGCCUGACCCAGCAACGCCGCGUGAAGGAAGAAGGUCUUCGGAUCGUAAACUUCUAUCCUUGGUGAAGAUAAUGACGGUAGCCGAGAAGGAAGCCCCGGCUAACUACGUGCCAGCAGCCGCGGUAAUACGUAGGGGGCAAGCGUUGUCCGGAAUGAUUGGGCGUAAAGGGCGCGUAGGCGGCCUGGUAAGUCUGGAGUGAAAGUCCUGCUUUUAAGGGGGGAAUUGCUUUGGAUACUGUCGGGCGUGAGUGCAGGAGAGGUAAGUGGAAUUCCCGGUGUAGCGGUGAAAUGCGUAGAGAUCGGGAGGAACACCAGUGGCGAAGGCGACUUACUGGACUGUAACUGACGCUGAGGCGCGAAAGUGUGGGGAGCAAACAGGAUUAGAUACCCGUGUAGUCC